rnacentral:rRNA from 1 species
AUUGAAAGGCGGCUUCGGCUGUCACUUAUGGAUGGACCCGCGUCGCAUUAGCUAGUUGGUGAGGUAACGGCUCACCAAGGCAACGAUGCGUAGCCGACCUGAGAGGGUGAUCGGCCACACUGGGACUGAGACACGGCCCAGACUCCUACGGGAGGCAGCAGUAGGGAAUCUUCCGCAAUGGACGAAAGUCUGACGGAGCAACGCCGCGUGAGUGAUGAAGGCUUUCGGGUCGUAAAACUCUGUUGUUAGGGAAGAACAAGUGCUAGUUGAAUAAGCUGGCACCUUGACGGUACCUAACCAGAAAGCCACGGCUAACUACGUGCCAGCAGCCGCGGUAAUACGUAGGUGGCAAGCGUUAUCCGGAAUUAUUGGGCGUAAAGCGCGCGCAGGUGGUUUCUUAAGUCUGAUGUGAAAGCCCACGGCUCAACCGUGGAGGGUCAUUGGGAAACUGGGGAGACUUGAGUGCAGAAGAGGAAAGUGGAAUUCCAUGUGUAGCGGUGAAAUG